rnacentral:rRNA from 1 species
GUAGGGAAUAUUGGGCAAUGGAUGCAAGUCUGACCCAGCCAUCCCGCGUGCCGGAAGAAGGCCCUCAGGGUUGUAAACGGCUUUUGACGGUGAAGAAUCGACAGGAUGCGUCCUGUUUUGACGGUAGCCGUUGAAUAAGCACCGGCUAACUCCGUGCCAGCAGCCGCGGUACUACGGAGGGUGCGAGCGUUGUCCGGAUUUAUUGGGUUUAAAGGGUGCGUAGGCUGGAAGGUCAGUCAGCGGUGAAAAGCUGUCGCUUAACGAUAGUCUUGCCGCAGAUACUUCCUUUCUUGGAUGAGGAGGAGGCCACUGGAACGGAUGGUGUAGCGGUGAAAUGCAUAGAUAUCAUCCAGAACACCGAUUGCGAAGGCAGGUGGCUGUACCUUAAUCGACGCUGAUGCACGAAAGCAUGGGGAGCAAACAGGAUUAGAAACCCUGGUAGUCC